GUCGGAUUAGCUAGUUGGUGAGGUAACGGCUCACCAAGGCCACGAUCCGUAGCUGGUCUGAGAGGAUGAUCAGCCACAUCGGGACUGAGACACGGCCCGAACUCCUACGGGAGGCAGCAGUGGGGAAUAUUGGACAAUGGGGGAAACCCUGAUCCAGCCAUGCCGCGUGUGUGAAGAAGGCCCUCGGGUUGUAAAGCACUUUCAGCGAGGAAGAACGCCUAGCGGUUAAUACCCGCUAGGAAAGACAUCACUCGCAGAAGAAGCACCGGCUAACUCCGUGCCAGCAGCCGCGGUAAUACGGAGGGUGCAAGCGUUAAUCGGAAUUACUGGGCGUAAAGCGCGCGUAGGUGGCUUGAUAAGCCGGUUGUGAAAGCCCCGGGCUCAACCUGGGAACGGCAUCCGGAACUGUCAAGCUAGAGUGCAGGAGAGGAAGGUAGAAUUCCCGGUGUAGCGGUGAAAUGCGUAGAGAUCGGGAGGAAUACCAGUGGCGAAGGCGGCCUUCUGGACUGACACUGACACUGAGGUGCGAAAGCGUGGGUAGCAAACAGGAUUAGAUACCCUGGUAGUCCACGCCGUAAACGAUGUCGACCAGCCGUUGGGUGCCUAGCGCACUUUGUGGCGAAGUUAACGCGAUAAGUCGACCGCCUGGGGAGUACGGCCGCAAGGUUAAAACUCAAAUGAAUUGACGGG
rnacentral:rRNA from 1 species